CCCAGGAUAGCUCAGCGGCUAGAGCAUGUAUCUGGUAACUGAAAGAUUGCCGGUUCGAAUCCGGCUCGUGGGA
rnacentral:tRNA from 1 species